rnacentral:rRNA from 1 species
GGGGAAUUUUGGACAAUGGGGGAAACCCUGAUCCAGCCAUGCCGCGUGCGGGAAGAAGGCCUUCGGGUUGUAAACCGCUUUUGGCAGGAACGAAACGGCGCGGGCGAAUAUCCCGUGCUAAUGACGGUACCUGCAGAAUAAGCACCGGCUAACUACGUGCCAGCAGCCGCGGUAAUACGUAGGGUGCAAGCGUUAAUCGGAAUUACUGGGCGUAAAGCGUACGCAGGCGGCUGUGCAAGACAGGUGUGAAAUCCCCGGGCCCAACCUGGGAACUGCAUUUGUGACUGCACGGCUAGAGUCCGUAAGAGGGGGGUGGAAUUCCACGUGUAGCAGUGAAAUGCGUAGAGAUGUGGAGGAACACCGAUGGCGAAGGCAGCCCCCUGGGAUGAGACUGACGCUCAUGUACGAAAGCGUGGGGAGCAAAC